AUUGAACGCUGGCGGCAGGCCUAACACAUGCAAGUCGAACGGUAACAGGAAUCAGCUUGCUGAUUCGCUGACGAGUGGCGGACGGGUGAGUAAUGUCUGGGAAACUGCCUGAUGGAGGGGGAUAACUACUGGAAACGGUAGCUAAUACCGCAUAACGUCGCAAGACCAAAGAGGGGGACCUUCGGGCCUCUUGCCAUCGGAUGUGCCCAGAUGGGAUUAGCUAGUAGGUGGGGUAACGGCUCACCUAGGCGACGAUCCCUAGCUGGUCUGAGAGGAUGCCCAGCCAACCUGGAACUGAGACACGGUCCAGACUCCGACGGGAGGCAGCAGUGGGGAAUAUUGCACAAUGGGCGCAAGCCUGAUGCAGCCAUGCCGCGUGUAUGAAGAAGGCCUUCGGGUUGUAAAGUACUUUCAGCGGGGAGGAAGGGAGUAAAGUUAAUACCUUUGCUCAUUGACGUUACCCGCAGAAGAAGCACCGGCUAACUCCGUGCCAGCCGCCGCAGUAA
rnacentral:rRNA from 1 species